GGACAACUUUCUGCCUUGGGUUGAUUUAAAUCCAAGCAUCUCUCAUAGUGUCCCGUGCUAGAGCAAACUGGCUCCUAACCAUUGCCCAGCCUCGGUGCAUGUAGGCUGCUGGCACUGCAGUGGGUCACACAGUG